rnacentral:rRNA from 1 species
GAUGAACGCUAGCGGCAGGCCUAUUACAUGCAAGUCGAACGGUGUCUUCGGACAUAGUGGCGCACGGGUGCGUAACACGUAUGCAACCUACCUUACAUUGGGGGAUAGCCUUUCGAAAGGGAGAUUAAUACCGCAUAAGACAGUAGCUGGGCCGCCAGCAGCUGGGAAAGAUUUAUCGAUGUAAGCUGGGCAUGCGUCCAAUUAGCUAGUUGGUGCGGUAACGGCUCACCAAGGCAAUGAUUGGUAGGGGAACUGAGAGGUCAAUCCCCCACACUGGCACUGAGAUACGGGCCAGACUCCUACGGGAGGCAGCAGUAGGGAAUAUUGGGCAAUGGACGCAAGUCUGACCCAGCCAUGCCGCGUGCAGGAUGAAGGCGUUAUGCGUUGUAAACUGCUUUUAUACAGGAAGAAACGACUCUUGCGAGAGGCAUUGACGGUACUGUAUGAAUAAGCACCGGCUAAUUCCGUGCCAGCCGCCGCGGUAACAC